CGCUAACUAGCUAGCCCACUCACAUAAAAACAACAAUCCCCAUAAAUAACCCCUAAAACCCUACCACCUCUAAUUCAACAAACCAUUUUCCCUCUCUAGUACGGGUGACAGAAAAAGAACUAUUGGAGCAAUAGAAAAAGUACCGCAAGGGAAUGCUGAAAGAGAAAUGAAACAACCCAGUGAAGCCUGAAAAAGCAGAGAUUAGAUCUCGUACCUUUUGCAUCAUGACUUAGCGAGAACCAUCCAAGCAAAGAGUCCUUUAGUUUGGCCCCCCGAAACUAUGGUGAGCUACUCCAAGACAGCCUGUCAUAAAGGGCGAACCCGUCUCUGUGGCAAAAGAGUGGGAAGAGCUUCGAGUAGAGGUGAAAUACCUACCGAACCUAGUUAUAGCUGGUUGUCUGAGAAAUGGAUAUGAGUUCAGCCUCCAGGCUUCCCCCUUCACCACGGUUUGUACCUCUACCGAUAAUUGAGAAACCAGGAGAGUUAGUCAAAGGGGGUACAGCCCUUUUGACACAAGAUACAACUUUUCCAGGUGGGUAAAGAUCAUAAUAUUUUUAAGGUAAUAUGUUCAGGUGGGCUUAAAAGCAGCCACCCUUGCUGAAAGCGUUAAAGCUCAAACAUUAACCACAACCGUAUAUUCAGAUAAUUUAAUCCAAACCCCCUAACACUAUCAGACCAUCUCAUGCAAACAUGAGAGUGCAUAUGCUAAGAUGAGUAAUAAGAAAGCACCUGACUUUCUCCUCGCACACGUGUAAAUCGGAACGAACCCCCACCGAAAUUUAACGGCCCCAAGCAAAGAGGGCAAUAGAUGCUCAGUCUAACAAACCAGAAAACCAUCUAAAAAGAAACCGUUAACCCUACACCGGUGUGCCCCCAAGGAAAGACUAAAAGAAGAAGAAGGAACUCGGCAAACACUAAGCCUCGCCUGUUUACCAAAAACAUCGCCUCUUGCAAACCCAAGAAUAAGAGGUCCAGCCUGCCCAGUGACUAUAAGUUCAACGGCCGCGGUAUUUUAACCGUGCAAAGGUAGCGUAAUCACUUGUCUUUUAAAUGAAGACCCGUAUGAAUGGCUAGACGAGGGCUUAACUGUCUCCUCCUUCAGGUCAAUGAAAUUGAUCUCCCCGUGCAGAAGCGGGGAUGGUACCAUAAGACGAGAAGACCCUAUGGAGCUUCAGACACCCGAGCAUAUCAUGUUAAACACCCUAAGAUAAAAGGUUAAACUUUGUGAACAAAUGCUGCCGUGUCUUCGGUUGGGGCGACCCCGGGGAAACAAAAAACCCCCGCGUGGAAUGAGAGUACUAACUCCCAAAGCUAAGAGCUACCGCUCUAAUAAUCAGAACAUCUGACCAAACCAGAUCCGGUAUAACCGAUCAACGAACCAAGUUACCCUAGGGAUAACAGCGCAAUCCCCUUUUAGAGCCCUUAUCGACAAGGGGGUUUACGACCUCGAUGUUGGAUCAGGACAUCCUAAUGGUGCAGCCGCUAUUAAGGGUUCGUUUGUUCAACGAUUAAAGUCCUACGUGAUCUGAGUUCAGACCGGAGAAAUCCAGGUCAGUUUCUAUCUAUGCCGUGUUCUUUUCCAGUACGAAAGGACCGAGAAGAAAAGGCCCAUGUCCCAGGCACGCCUUGUCCCCUCCUAUUGUAUAAAACUAAAAUAGGUAAAGGACAUAUACACCCCUGCCCUAGAUAAGGGCUA
rnacentral:rRNA from 1 species